UACGUAGGGUGCGAGCGUUAAUCGGAAUUACUGGGCGUAAAGCGUGCGCAGGCGGUUAUGUAAGACAGAUGUGAAAUCCCCGGGCUCAAACUGGGAAAUGCAUCAGUGACUGCAUAGCUAGAGUGCGGCAGAGGGGGAUGGAAUUUCGCGUGUAGCAGUGAAAUGCGUAGAUAUGCGGAGGAACACCGAUGGCGAAGGCAAUCCCCUGGGCCUGCACUGACGCUCAUGCACGAAAGCGUGGGGAGCAAACAGG
rnacentral:rRNA from 1 species